CCUCACACAGUUCCUAUCCAGUCUACCCUCCCUCUGCAGGAGCCCAAGGCUCCAUCCCUGCAGUUCCAGUUUCUCCACUAGGUGGCAGAAUAUCAACAGUCAUCAUCCAUGCCUCUUAGAAAGACUUAACACAGAUAAAAAGGGUGACUUUGGAAGCUGUAUGCUGAAUAUAGCAGAGCCUCAAGAUGGAAGAAGCAUGGGUCACUAAUGCUUGGAGGAGAGCCACCUGUCAAUCAGGACUUUAUCUGAAUGCAAAGGACUCCAAGGCUCAAAAGUUCCAGCAGCUCUGGGACCAGAUGGUGUAUGUCCACAAACAGAGCUGCUGCUGCUGCUGCUGCUGCUACUGCUGCUGCUGCUGCUGCUGCUGCUGCUACAAGUAUGGAUUGUCAAAUGUUCAGAAAAGCCCCAAGUGGGAAUCAACAGACUUUGCAUCUCUGCUCUCCAAGGGUCUGCUCUGUCAGCAAGUGGUCUGAAAACCUGGAAAUUAUGUUAUCAGCGGCAUGAAUCAUUUUGUUACUCAAAUAAAAGAGACAAUUAUAGGGAAAAAUAUUUAAAAAAUAUUGAUGAGCCCCCCCCCCCCAAAAAAAAGACGACCACCCAUAAUCCCACCAACCAUAGCUAACCACUGUUACAUUGUGGUAUGUGUCUUUCUUAUCUUUUUGCCUACAUGGAAAAGGAAGUUUUUACUGAGUACCUACUACAUACCAGGCAGUAUACUUAGGACUGUGAAAGCUUGGUCUUGAUCUUAAGGAUAGAGGGCAAUGACCCAAAUCAUUACAAUUUGGGGUGAGAACUGCAAUAAUAGCUGCCUGAAGAGAUACAAGAAAAGCAGGGAAAAAGAAGUGAGCACCUCUUCCUGACCUGUUAUAUUCAAGAUUCCACAUAUAAGUGAAAACAUA